rnacentral:antisense_RNA from 1 species
GUCAACGGGAAGAAGUCAACCGUUUUUGGGUCUUUAGAAGCAACCGCUGUACUAAGGACAGCUGUAUCACCGUAUCGGAUUAAAGCUGCUCCGCUAGCUUGCUUUGCCAAUUGGCCAACUUCGACAGUCAAUGUUCGGCCGGCCCAGUCAAUCGAAAAUGUCUUUUUUGUUUGAACCAUUUUUCAAACCCCUCUCUACAAUCUAUAAACGAGAAUAAUAAUAUACGUUAGACGAAUCAUUUAACUCUUUCAUAUAUGUAAAAGCUCUUGUUUACUUAAUCACACUAGUUUUAUUAUGCACGAAAAAAUGUAUCAUUAACAGUAUAAAAACAAAUAUGUAUG